GGGCGCCUCCGCGCUCCCGCCUCCUCCUGGCAACCUGGUGCGCGGCUCCGGACCUGGCGACCCACGACCGGCUGGUCACUUGCUGCCACCUCGCAAAGGCGCAUCUCUAGUUCAGUGGUGAGCUGCGGCCGGGUCGCUGCAACUCGCUCCAGGCCUCCGGACUCGUGGCCUCGGUGUCCCUCGCGGAGCCCUCGGUGUGUCGCUUGCAGGCUCUUUUUUUGAAGAAAGCAGGGAGGGAAUGGCCUUGUGAGAGACUCCAGGAGCAAAGAGCGACCCUCACAAGGCCCAAGUCCUCCCAGAGCUCAGGGAAGCUGUCGCUUCUGACAGAAGAAGGGAGACAAAGCUCCCUCCUGUGUGUCCCUGGUGGUCUAGUGGCUAGGAUUCGGCGCUUUCACCGCCGCGGCCCGGGUUCGAUUCCCGGCCAGGGAAUUGUUUUACACUGGCCGCCCUCCCGCAGGAAUCUUCCUUCACUACGCUGUCAGCCGGCCUGCUCCAAGGGCCAGAAGCAGAACAGUCUCCGCAGCGGGGUUAAAGCCGGGCGAAGGAGGGCAAGUGCUGGUGGACCACCUCUCACGACACACCGUUCCUGUUUAUCUCAGUGUCCGUCAUCCGCGGGAGCAGCUUUAGAGAGCGACUGAGCGUCUCGCUCCGGUGUACACAGCCCGGCAAAGAUGCCAGCCCCCGUGGAGCUGCACCCAAUAAGCCCACCUUCUUUCCCGUCGCCACCCCGGAGACGCCCAUCGGGCUGAGCUGCGAAUAACUAAGAGAGAGGCCAAGCCAAGUCGUGGCGUUUGUGGCAGCCCCGGACACGGGCACCAGCCAGUCAGCGGAGCCUCCUCACCUCCGUUGCCAGCGAAGGCGCUCGUUAGGCCUUGGGAAGAGGCGACCGGAGGCGAUGCCCGCGAAUUUGUUAGGGGGAGUUGCUGAUCCCUGUGAUUUCCUCCAUGUGGGAAACGGUGUUUGUGCUAGAAGAGGCUGCGCUCUUUACCUGACAUAACGGGGUUCAAGACUGACAACGCCUCACGCCCACCCGAAAACGUUUACAUGGCUUCCUUGUCUCUUUUUUUUUCUGUCCUAAAGUCGCCUCAUCUUCACAUCCCCUCUUUUUUUUCUUCCACACUCGAGAGUGUCUCUCUCUCUCAGUAAAAGCUCCACCAAAUAUUUGAAAUAUCUCAACCAGAAAGACUGCAAUAAAUACAUUAUUUCAUUCGUGGAAGGUACAGACCAGCUA
rnacentral:tRNA from 1 species